rnacentral:rRNA from 1 species
CGGCACGGGUGAGUAACGCGUAACUGACCUACCCCGAAGUCUGGAAUAACUGGUCGAAAGAUCAGCUAAUACCGGAUACCCAGAUGACUCGUGAGUCAUCUGGAAAGAUUUAUUGCUUUGGGAUGGGGUUACGUUCCAUCAGCUUGUUGGUGAGGUAAAGGCUCACCAAGGCGACGACGGAUAGCCGGCCUGAGAGGGUGGCCGGCCACAGGGGCACUGAGACACGGGUCCC